AGGUGAUGCCUUGAUUGCUUUAAUGUAUUCAGUGAGUGUCACUCUUAUAAUUGGAUUUCAUCAGAGCCAACGUAAUUAAUUUCAAAAUAUGUGGCUAAUUUUGAAGCUAUAUGCGUCUGUACAUGGAAAAUAGCAUAUUAAGAAACAGAAAACUUCACAUGUUUUGUAGUUCCUAGAACCUGUAAUUCCUAGAAGGCUAGAACUUGAUUAAGAAAUACUAAGUAAUAUCUACGUUACAGUGAUAUAACAUAGUUUGAUUGUAAAUCAUGGCACACAUCUUGCUUCCAAUAAAAAAAAGAAAGCUCUUUGCCGAUUUAUCCCUCCAUAGCAAGAAGAUGCUUCAUUUCAAGUAUGGGUAAGAUCGAAUAGGUGAUACUGGUAUGCUACACAGCAUUUCAUGUUUUUGUUUCACCAGCAGAAACAGUGUCUUAUUGUCUCAGCUAUUCUGGAAUUGUAGUAGAUAGCAUUAUGUCCCUGUCUAUUCUUAUGUGUCUGCUGCGCAUACUGUAUGGAUUCGCUUCAACUCUUUGGUAUUCUCUACAUAUUAACUUGUCUAAGAAGCCCUUUCUUCUUUAACCAGCUG
rnacentral:lncRNA from 1 species